AAGUACGGAGAUUGUUCUAUUGUGUUGUGUGGUUUACUCGCAAGCUUUUAAGCAAGAGUGAAUCCUAGUUUCUUAGGAGUGUGUCUCCACCUGUUGUGAUUGUGGAAUUGAAUAGCAGCGCUGUCUGUGUAGCUAAGGUGGGAAUUGGGACGGGGUCUCAUAUCUAGGAGUUCCUAGGUAGAAGGGUCAUUGGGUAGUGAUUAAGUGAGAAGUUGUAAACGGGUGAGUUUAGCUUCGAAGUAAUACUGCUGAUAGUGGACUUCAUUCCUGGAUUGGUAUCCCCUAGAGUAGGCUUUAGGCUGAACUGGGUUAACAACUCUCGUGUGUUAUUUACUUUAAUGUUUGUAUUGUUUUAUGUUAUUUGCUCUGUUUAUAGACAAGUGUUGGCGCACCAGUAACAACAUCUGUCUACAACAGACAAGUGUUGCUACACCUUGAGCAACACCUGUCCACUGUGUGCCAG
rnacentral:lncRNA from 1 species